GUUGUUUGUGCUUCGAACGUCAUCACAUCGUCACGGGAGUCAAGAGUCCACACACCGAGUGCUCGUCACAGCAGAAAGCCUGACUGAUCAUCCAGCGAGGCAAAUGAAUAAUAAAAGAUCAAUGGACAGCUUUGUCAUUAACACUUUGACAGAGUGGCAGCUGACAGACCUUGUCGACAAAUUUAAAGAUUGCACAGGACAGUCUUGUCCUGCAAGGGGAUGCUGCAUCAAAAUUGUUUGAAACUUGGCUACCCAUUUAUGCUGAGAAGAUCCUGUGCCUGGCACCUGGAUGGAUAAACACCAGAUGGUGUUGGGGAUCUCGCCCUGAGGCAGCUGCCAACCUUGCUUCCACCUACAACUUACAAAGUUGGCCGUGGCCGCAGUGUGAAAGUGGUUCGCCACACCAUUCAGGAAUGCAGCUUGGCCUUCAUCGACCGUAAGCCUGUAAGUCCUCAAGCACAUCUAAAUGGGAAACUUUAUUUAUUUUAUCAACAUAUCUGAGCUUAAGAAUGUGUGCAAGCACACAUGCAUAUCCAGGUUUGUUUUACUAUACUUUUGUGGACAGUCAUCAAAUAAAGCCUGACAGUAUUCGGAAAAUAGCCAUUCUACAAGCUUACAACACAAGCAUCCUGUGCUUCUAGAACACCUCAGCAGUGCCACAGGCUAAUUACCUCUGAUGCAGUAAUUUGUUCUAAAACAGGCACCAACAAAGGUAUUGAGUGCAGAAAUCAACAUAUUUAUCAGAAGGUUGACACUUUUGUAUUUUAACCCAUUUGGACCUGACUCUGUAAGGUUGACUAAAGAAGUCUUCUAAAUCUACAAACCAUUUGCGGCCCACCUAUCUGACCACCUAACUCGGCUGCCUAUCGGCCAGAUAGGAGAGUCAGAUUUUCUGAUCAUGUUUAUUGUAAUGAUAGAUCAUCAGUAGAUUUAUGGCUUUUUAGGACAAUUGAGAACAUAUGAUACAGUUCAACAUUUUGAAUUAGAGAUGCACUGAAUCUUUUCCAAAUUGUCAAGCUAACUAGACUUUAUAAUAAAACAAUAAUUUCUGUAGUGAGGACCAGGAAAAUGGUCCUCACAAUGUCUAUAUUAGAAUUCUUCUAUAGUAGUCUGUAGACAUUUGGUCCUUACUCACUCGCACUCUCUCACUUGCUCUCUUGUAUUCUUUCUUUUUUAGCCUGGAAUAAACAUGGUGGAGUAGCUCAAUGAGGCCAAGGCAUGCAAACCAUACCCCCACAUCCUGACGCUGGGAAAUGAUCAGAGGGCAUUUCAGAAUUUGUUCAAGACAGUUGACUGUUGGCAUGUUGAAUGUUCAGCCAGUUCAUUCAUAAUUGUUGUUUUGCUAUGAAUGUUUUCCUAUCUAGUGAUAUUAACUGCACCAGUUACACUAUUGUUGAUAUUAAUGAAUGUAAUACAAUAAAAAAAUUCUGAGAUUC